CGCCACCGCCCCCCGGCCCGCCGCGCAGCUGCGCCGCCGCCGGGCACCACGGGGCUCGUAGUCCGGGCUAGGGCCCGGCCGGGGGAGCGCGGAGGAAGGAGAAGAUGAGGCAGCAGAGCACAAAAAUCAGCUCCUUUAUGGAAACAAAUGCUUGGUAUGUGUAGCAGAUUGUGUGCUUGGAUUAACUUGCAGUUGAAGGAAAGAUCAGCAUGGAAAAGCAGGAUCCUGAAUCUGAACCCAGCUUGCUCUUGCCUUGCUGAGUGGUAAUAGGGGUUGCCGCCCAUAUCCUCCUAAUUUCAUUUGAGAAGUUAGAAUUCCCUGCAACCAUCAGAUAAAACCAUCUGUAGUGGAUGAAAAUGACAGCUGCUUGUGUAGAAAGUCUGUGGUUACCUAUUGCUAAAUACUGUAUCAUAACACCAGAAUAUUUUACAAUACACAGAGUUUGGACAGGCAGUACAGAACCCAUCCUCCAUCAUAAUGUUGCCAACAGCUGCAGAUGUGCAUUUACAUAGGACAAAACCCAAGAAUCUCUGUCAAAGAGCAUCUAUUUUUGCACUGUUCCUGCCACUGGUUCUUCAAAGGUGUGGGGUUUUUUUGUGUUUUGUUUGUUUGUUUGUUUGUUUUUGUUUUAAUAGCUUGGUUUGUUAGUUAGUUUGUUUUUGUUUUAAUAGCUGCCACCAAUGAAGGAGCUAGAUAGGAAGGCUAGCCAAACGUGACUCAGAUGAUAACAGGACUAAAAAGAGAGAAGACAAACAACAUCUGUAAUAUUUGCUGGCUCUCCACUCAUUAGUAAAACUUACGUAAAAGAAAGUUGGUUAUCAAUUAGUCAUCAGAGAAUUUAUAUAUCAUUAGAAACACAGGGGAGUGCUAGAUACAACUGCACUGAAAUAAAAAGGGGAAUUAGGUUCAUAUAUAUAUACCAAACAUCAAGCAGAUCUAUGUAACAUGACUCCCACUCACCUUUACCACUUUACUGAAGUGCAUCCUGCAUUCCAUUAACUGCUGGAGAGAGUCCAGAGGAGGCAACCAAAAUGAUUAGAGAGAUGGAGCAACUCUCCUGCAAGGUAGGGCUGAGAGAAUUGUGUUUGUUCAGCCUGGACAAUGGAUGGCUUGGGGGUCAUCUAAUUAUGGCUUUCCAGUACCUGAAAAGAGGCUACAAGAGGGAUGGAGAUGGACUUUUUACUGAGGCAUAUAGUGACAGGACAAGGGGGAAUGUAUUUAGAUGGAGAGUAAAUUUAGAGUAGAUAUUGUGAAAAAGAUGUUUACUGUGGGUGUCUUGAGGCCCUGCACAGGUUGCCCUGAGUGGCUGCCCCAUCCCUGGAGGUGUUCAAGGCCAGGCUGAACUGGGCUCUGAGCAUCCUGGUGUAGUGGAAGAUGUCUCUGCCCACGGCAGGGCAAUUGGAACUAGGUGUAGAUGAUCUUUAAGGUCACUACCUAUCCAGGCCGUUCUAUGAACUAUGUAAUUCACCCCUUGCUGCACUCAUUAUGUGUUGUAGCUCCUCAGUUAAAUGCACUACUUCUAUAUAAAGCAAAUCAUUAAUGAGUUUUAUUGACAGUUUGCUACAGAACAGCCUAGAGCAGGAGUUGCAGUGAUUCAGAGUAGGAAAGACUGUGCAGAAUAUAACUCCCUGUGCAUGAAUUUGCAGGCAUAAUGAGCCUUAUUCUGAUCAUCUGAGUUCACCUCCAUUGACUUCAUGCUUUCCACUGGUGCAAAUCAGAUCUGUGCUGAUGUCUCUGGUGCUGCCCAGGUUAGACUGUGGUGAUGGCUGCUAUGAGUUAGUCAUGGCUGUAUGCCUUCUGAACUCGCUCACUCUAUAGGGCCAGCCCUGGGUGUGAGGAGGAGAGAAGCUGCUCCCUUGCAGGGAAAGCCCUGCGUCUCUGUGCAUGCCUGGUCUCUCAUUAUCACCAACCUCAGUGCUGUAUUUACUUUUACCUGCUGUGUGAUAGGUGCAGUAAAAGAGCACUUUUGCCCUAGGACAGAGUGUGAUUCCACUCUCAGAGCCUGAGAGUUGGCAGUAUGUAGCAGAGGGUUGCUGAAUAACGGGUCCCAGAGGCUGUGUGCUGAGGGUCUGCCACUGCUUGUGCUAUGCUAAGUAGUGGUCACACACCAACUCUGGAACAACAUUGUUAGCAAGGUCUAAAGUAAUCCUGUUUCAGUGACUGCUGUGCCACUGACUCACACUUGCUCACUCAUAGCCUUCCCUCACUGACAAAAAUGCUUCAGCACAGAGUAUCUUGACACUAAGCUUUUCUUUCUCACAAUCACGAGUGAGGACUGGGUAUGGUUGUCAUGCAGGUAAGGCCACAGUAAUUUGAUUGCCUUUGGUUAUGUAUGUAACACAUUAUUUUAAGAAUUAUUUUUCAUCAAGAGAGAGAACUACUUAAUUUCUUAAUGAUUUGGGAUCAAGUUUAUCCCAGUGGGGAUCUAUAUAGGUGUAAUCAACAAUGAUAAAUUUAAGAAGGAAAGAACAGCCAAAGAAUAUUUUUAAAUCUAAAUUUUUUUAUUUUUUUAUUUUUUUUUUGUGGAAAGACUUAAUUUUCAGCAGCAAAAGAGGUUAAUGUUAAAACUUAGUGGGAUGGAAAUUUCUUUUAGUGUUUUCAGAUGUUUGUAAGGUUUAGGUUAAUUGUUCAAUUCAAUAAAAUCAUUCUCUGUCCUAUGGGUAAAUGGUCUGUGUUAGGCUCCAUGCCUCUGUGAGGAGGAAGGAAAUUUUAUUAAAGUGUUGAAACAAGCAAGGUGGACUGAGGAAAGCAGAAGAAAAAGCCCAAAACCCACAGAACAGUUACAGACACCCAUGCAUAGCACUGAUAUCCCUUUGAGAGAGCAACCAGCAUCUGACUACUUCCAAAUCAAAGGACAACAAUUAGAAAUCAUUGGCAAUUAUUAGAGAAAAAUGUCAAGGCAAAAGAGAAGGAAGAGGUGCUUGUAUGGGUGAAAUGCUAGUGAAUGUGGUCUGGGGGAUGUUCCAGAGAAGCAGCAUGAAGGGGUGAGUUGGAGUGGUGCAGGGAAUGAGACAAGGAGGGAACAGGGAAGUUUUAUUCCAUGACAUAUAGCUGCAGAUGAAUAGCUGUUAAAGGGGACAUACAAAAGCCUUUGGAAGAUCAGUGCAGUGUGUAGGCUGAGUUUUGAAGUGUGGAUUGAAAUGUUGAUAUAAAAAUUUUGAUUUCUUUAAAAAUUAAGACAGUAGUGGUGUGUUUAAGGACAAAGUGAUAAAUCACAAGUUUGAAAAUGACAAAUCUUUGCCAGAGCCAUAAACCUGACCUUCGCUGGUUUUGGUUUAAUGGUCAGAGUAUUUACAUGACCACAUGACCUUUUUAGGGUAAAAUAAUAUGCCUGUCCGUAACAUGCCACUUCUGCAAAUGUAUAACUUAGGAUGACUGAGAAAAAAAACACAAGAUUAUCAAGGUAUAAUGGCAAGUUAGUUCAGAUACUAGAUAUCUUGGUUUUACUUUUACAUUUCACAGCAUGGUAACAGAAGUGUGGUAGAUUUUUCUUGGAAAAUUAGAACUAAUUCCAGCAGAAACUGAUGCAGAAACUCCACUUUUUCCUAAAAACUAGCUUCCAUUCUUUCCCAUAGCAGGAUCACGGCCUAACAAGCCACACAUCCUUCUUACUGUUGGUUUGGUUUUUUUUUUUAUCUCUAGGAAAACAAAAUUCUCCAUGUCUCUGUGUUAAAAUGAUUGGAAAUUAAAUUUAGAGGGAUCUAGCAUGUGAUUACUUUUUUUAGAUAGGAUUUUCUUCAUAGCUGAAUUGGACUGAGUUUUUUUCCCCUCACAAACCAGAUGGUAAGUGAUUCAGUAGUUUUAGCAGUAGAAAAAUGAUUAGUUUUCUUUCCUUUAGUAGUUGGUGUGAAUGUACUUUUCUUUAUCUAUUUACAUAUUACAUAAACACACUUUACCAGCAUUUCUGUACAUAGGUUACAGUCCUGAUCCUGUAGAGAGCCUUGCACACAGGAGUUGACAUGGUUCAUAUAGAACUAUUUGCAUGGGCAGUGUCGUAACUGUAUUUGUAUCUUUAUGUAUGUACUUAAAUAUACAACACUGUAUGAGGAUGCCAGCACAAUUUUAAGUCCACAAAACUAUUGAGUAACUUUGCACACUUUACUUUCUUUUCACCUAACAAAAUCUCUGGUCUCUUCUGCUGUGUUUCUGUAGUAGGAUGUAGGUCCUUGGGGCUUUUGUGUUAUGCUAAAAGCUUUGUCCUUAUUAUACAGUGUAAGUUGCUGCUCCUGGUGUGCAGGGGGAGUGAGGUCCUCAUUCAUGUAAACUUUUGGACUUGUACUGGUGCUACUCCCUUUGGAAGGGAUUGCAGUAACAGUGGCAAAUAUUUGGGAGAAUGUUAAAUAAAAUCACAUAAGUACUUGUUUUAUCAAGAUUAUAUGCAUCUAAAUUUGUUGGUGUAUAAUGUUAAAUAGAAUGUAUGUGUAACCCAUAUAUGAUGUGUCAGCAUACGGGUAUUUGAGGCAGAAGGCUCUGAAGCUGUUACUAGACUUACAUUCUAGGCAAAUAGUGUAUUACAGUAUCCAGUCACUCAUGCCCUAUACAAGAAAGUGCAAGUAAGGUUGUCCAAGCCACCUGACUGAUGUCCUUUCCAAGUAGUUACGAGCUGUUUUGUAAAUUUGCUGUGCUUUUACCCUAGCUUUACCUGGGAAUUAAGAUGUUGAAUGCAUAGUCUCAUACUGCUUCUUUAUUGAGACGAUAAUACUCCAUUUCAAAGCCAGUGACCACGUUCUCUGUUUACAAAUCUGGCUGUACACAGUUGGAAUAAUUAUCUGAUUCUCUUCUUGAUUCCUGUCUCAUGUAGGUAUGCUGUGGUUGAGUCACUGGGGAUUUGUGCACAGAGGAGCUGGCUGGCCCCUUGCCUUGUUUUCCAGGUUUACCAGAGAGUUAAAACCCACUUCUUAGCAUUUCUCACUUGAAAAAUGUGACAAUCAUCUGCUUCCAUGUAUUCUAAUAGGGAAAAAAAGACAUAUGAAUUAGCAUCAGAGAUACUGUGCUGUGACAUGUCAAGUUUUUCCCUUCAAUUAAAUUAUUCAGUGGAAUGGUGUCAGGAGGAGGUCCUUGAAACUAGCACUGUUUGGCUUGGAUCAGUAGUCAAGCUGGGGUGAUUCAGUGUGUGUUGUAUUUGUGAAAUAAGUUACUUUCUUUAAGUCCAUUUAUGAAAGGGGGAGUUUGCGUCUCAGGCUGUGUGGUCACACAAAGCAUCAGAAAACUGUGUCUGCAGGGCACGUAAUCCUGCAGGAUGAUGCUGGAUGGGGUGGUGUGUGCCUCCAGUCUGAGGUCAGGCUGCCUGAUGGGAAGAACGAGAACUUGUUCAGCCACAGCUCUGUGUGUUGCAUACCAAGGAUUGUAUCUUCUCUGAACCUCAUCGUGGUCACAAAUGGUCUCAUUUCUUAUAACUGGGAAUUGCUUUAUUACAUUACCAGAAGGAAACAAGCACAAAGCAAUGGUUACGCACUUCCAAACGCUGUGUCUGUAGAAGACCAGAGCAGUAACUCCUAAUGCAGCUGUUGUGGGCAGGUAGAGCAGUGGGAUUAAGAUUUCUGUUCUCUCAGGCUGGCUGUGCAUGCUCUUGUGCUCAUAAUUUGCUGACUGGCAGCAGUGUGCUUGUUUCUCAGUGCACUUGUCCUGGUACCCACCGGCACCCAGCUGCCCAUCCCACUCUGGCCAGGUGUUACACCUGGGAGUGUUACCAUGCCUGGGAGUGACAGUGGGUGUGACAUGAAUAGCAAAAGGGGAUCCAGGAGAAGUUAAACCAGGUUGAUCUGUCCGUCAGGAAGAAUGAGAAAAAUUUGCCCUCAGUGUGGAGGGCACUGAAGAAACAGUGUUGGAGACCAGUUAUCUGUUGACUUCUUCUUUAGGUUCCAGGGAGUAAAUCAUGUGGAGAAAACUUGGCUUAAAGCUUUGACAACCAAGUAAUUGAUGUAAGCCCUGGGUUAUAUAGGACAUAAACAUACUUUUGUAAGUACUUGAAGUACUGAAGAGAGUUUCUUCUGGUUUCAGUUAAUAACAGGGAAUGUUGUGUACAGUUUGUUUGCUUGAUUGGUUCAUUUUAUUGUAUGUAAAUACACUGUAGAAACAAGUUUGCCUUUUGUUCAGUGGUACUCAGCUAGUGUGCUUCUAGUAAAUCAAUUGAAUUAAGGGGAAUAAAUAACGUGCUCUGGUCUGUCAAUGAAACAAAGUCCAUUUAAAAUUAAGGCCAUGAGGGAUAUGAUGAGGCUUCAGAGGAGUUAGAACAGUGAGUAGAACUGAUGGCCUGUGCCAUAGAACAGAAACCUUCAGGCCACAUGUGCCACAGGCAUGCAACUCAUUGGUGAUGUGAGCUGCCUCAGUGAGAAAGGAGUGGUGUUCUCCCAUGUGUGAUAUGAAACUCUAGCUCCAUUGGUCUUAAUGAAAAUGAUGUGGUUUUGCACUGGGGCAAAUGAGAGCAGAAUCUGACCAACUGUUAAUAGCUUUUUGUAUUUAAUGCUGAAAUAAAGUGGCUAUGUGUGCAAAUAACUGUGCAAGUGUGACUUCUGAAUGACUCCUAAAAGGAGAAUUCAGUGUUUAAUUGUUGGAAAUACAAACUGUUUGGCACAAAUCUCCUGGUUUGGCUGAGCUAUACUUGACCUGCGACAGAGAGAACAAAGAUGAUUUUAAGUUCUGGAGUCCAAGGGACCAGUGUGUAAUGCAACUCGAGUCCAAGUCAAUGUGUUGACUGCUUUGUAAUUACAGAUGCUUAUUUUGUGUACAAAACCAGUUGAUUCAUUAUCUUUUAUUUCCAUGAUCUCAUCUCAAUCUUUAUGUGUGAAUCUGAGGUAUUUGAGUUCAAGGGAAUGGCAUAUAACUAGAAUUAAAAGAAAAGGGGCUUGAUAACAAAAAGUUGGUUGUCCUGAUAUAAAGAUGUUCUGAUGUAACCAAAAGAAUGAAAUUGGUUAAAUCUAUCUGCAGAAUCUGAAAACUUUAUGAGAAGUCUAAGAAGUUCAAAAUAACCUUUAUUCUACUCCAUGACCUGCAUUUCUUGCAGUAUUUUGACCCAUGCCUUGGAUGGUUUAGCUCUUAGAAUGUAAGAGACAAUUGAAGCAACCAUGAUGCUAUAGCUUAACACUGUCACUCUUCAGGCUGUGCUUCAGGAGCCAGCUGAACUCCAGGAACUCUGUUCUUCAUGCAGAAGUAAUGUGGUAAAGAUGGCUUAAGCUAUCUUUAUUUUGUUAAAUUCUUAAACUGUGGUAAUCUCACCAUAAGUUGUCAGCUGUCCUUAUGCCUAGAAAUGUGGCUAUCCCAUUUUAAACUCUGGAAAACAGAGGAUGUUUUUUUCCUGGAGCCAAAAUAUAUAAAUGCUUUCAGCUUUCAAAGAGCCUCCAGUAUUUGAUAAAGUAAGUUUUACUUAUGCAAGCUAAAUAUUGCCACUUUUAAGUACAAGUGUUGAUGAUGUGGAGAGAUGUGAAAAUUUGUUGGGAUUCAAGUUGAGCCCAGAGUUGAUGGGGUAUGUUAGAAAAUACAGAAGUUACACUGGCUGAGAAUCAGGUCCUCACACUCAGCUGACCUCACUGGAAGAUGUACAAAUGGAGUGAAAGUACUAUAUGGCUUUUAAGCUUCUGUUUCUGUGGUACAUGAGGUUUUAUAAUACACAGAAGAAAGGAAAUGUUCACUUUUCCAGGUAAUCCUUACAGAAUGGGUGUCUGUUCUAUUCCAGUCUGCUGGACUGUCUGGAGAAUGUCAGUGUGUGAAGUGCUGUGCAUGCACAACAAGGAGGAUUUUUCGAUGGAAUUUGUAAUGCAGGACUCAUUAACUGAUGAUAGUGGAUAAUUUUGAAAGAGAUGAGUUCAGCACUUGCUGCUCACUUAGAUCAUAGAAAUAACUUGCGGGAGUAUAUUCACCAAACAGAGAUGUUCUCUAAAAUGCUUGCUAACAGGUUACUUACGCUUUUGUAUGCCAAAAGCAGUAGCUUUUUCUCCAAACCAAACAGAAAAUUAGAUGAGCUUUUUUAAUUGUGUGAGGAGUAAGUGUGAAAAUUGUUCGGGUUACAUGGAUGUUAUGUAAGGGUCACCAGUGGAAAGUCAGGCCUAGUGCUUUGUGUCUAAGGAAGUGACAGUUACAUUUUGUUUUUCAAGACCCCUGAGGUCUUGUCUGCAACUGUAUCAAGAACAUAGUCAUUAAUUUUCUACCACACAGAAAUAUUACUCAGUCAAGUUUCCUGUUGGUGUGUGUCUCCUCCCUUUGGCUGUUUGUUAUUUUAGAUGCGACUCUGUGGGACAGGAACUGUCGGUCAGUGCACCAGAGCCUGUGGGCACUGCUGGAAUAAAUACAGCAGCUUUCCUUCUACUCUGCUGUUUUGUGUAACUGAGGGUUGAGUUGGAGGGCUGGGGGUUUGCUUUUCUGGGUGAACCCAGGGAGGCAGAUGGAUUGCAUGAAGAGUCCUUCAUCACUCUGUCUGGCUCUGAGUGUGUCUGGAUGCAUCAGAAAUCCCAGAGCUUCUCAAAUCUCAGGCCUGUCUGUGUGUCCUACAGCAACAGUCUCCAGGGAGCUGAGGUUACUAGAUUGGAGGAUAUGAGUUGCAUAAAAAAGUCCCAGUCCCCGGGAGUUUAGGAGUGAUAGCAGAAUAAAUACUUACAACUUGCUUUCAUGUUACACGGCAUGGGACUUGUUCUUCCUUGCAGAUGACUUCUCCAAUGCUGUUUGGAUGUGCCUGCUGCUCUGUGAUUGCUCCUAAAGCCUUGAUUUGACAGCAGCCUCUGGCAUGCUGUGGGCCAGCAGAUCUGCAUAGCAACAGACCUGUCAGUCUUCCUGCAGAGAGUUAAAGGAAUUUUGGAGAAAAUUAGUGAGCCAAAAAUUUGCCAUUCUCUUCUGUGGUAAUUCCCUGGGAUCAAAGUGUCCCUCAUCUCUGGUACAGGUGGGCAGCAGACUGGGGAGGAAGGCAACACAAGUUUUAUUGUCUUUCUUAGUGCUUGGGGCUGCUGAUGUUAGGUGCUUUAAGUGUAGGGUUUUGAGAGAAGAGAUGUAGGUGAGGGAGAGGCAUCACUGUUAAGUGAACUGGAGGGAUAGUACUUUGACCUCUUAGAACAUAGAGCAGGCUGAGGAAAAGGAAUAAGAUGAAGAGAAAGAAAAUCCUCUUAAUCUGGGUAAUGUCAGCUUGUCAUUUUCAGUUCAGUAGUUAUGUAGCUGCAAGCCUCCUGCUGUCUGCUGUGCAAGGAGCAUAUAAUUAAUUAAAAGGCAUGGAAGAGUGCAGCAUACUUAGGGCUUUGAGGUGCUGACAAGCUAAUAGCACCAGCAUAACUGCAGAGAGCAUGUCCAACAUGAGGUUUGGUUCUAAAACUAAAAAUCCUGUUAUCCAGUGUGUCAUCCUUGAAGAUGACAUGUGGCUGACAUGCUGAAACCUAAAACCUCCUUGCUCUCUGCCUCCCUAGCAGCCUCAUACUCGUAUCCAGAUUCUCCUUAGUGUGAGCCACAAGGCACGAAUCUGUGUAACACAGGGGUUGGGAGAGCUUUCAGGUUCCUUAGGCCACCUGACUGUGCAGCAGUCCUGUGCCUUUUGCCCUAAGAAACACUGGAGUUCCUGGGUAAUGAUGUUGGGCAUGACAAAGGGUAAGAGCAGGUGUGCUGCUAACAUGUAUACAUCCCUAACAAGACUGAGUGCCUAUUCUGAGAUGCAGAGAUGUGGGUCAGAGGGCAUGCAACUCUGAAUUACGUAAGAGAAUAUCAGAACACACUCACUAUAUGGCUGCUAAACAAGGACCAGGAAAGGAUUUCACUGGUUUUGGCUUGAGGGAUUAAGCAAGAAGUGAUGGGUCAGAUAGAAAAGAGUCUGGUUUGACUGUGGUAUAAUUUGUACAAUAUAGUCUCAGCUUGGAAUUUAUCGCAGUCCAGACUGUAUAUCUUCAAUAGUGUUUACAAGCAUCUGAUUGUCACUGCCCAGAGCACUGACAAUUUUACUCCUUUUAUUUGUCAUACACACUUGCAAAUUUAAUACUUUUAUUUUGGAGAAUACAGCAUUUCACUGUACUGUGAAACAAUGCAUCUCUUCUGCCCUUCUCAUGGAUAUGUGAUGCAAUGAUAUCACAUCUUCCUAGUGAGGGACUGGUGAAUCCUUUUGUUUGUGUUCAAAGAAUCUCUUCGUUGGUAAUAGUUUCUGCACUGGUCUUAAUAGAAUUUUCAGAAGCAAAAUCGUAAUGUCAGGGACUUUUUAAAAAAACCUUUUCGUUAAAAAGACAAUACUGCUGUUAUUUGUUGCAUACCAUACUGAACCCGAGCUCUCAACAUGCUGCUGAAAUGCUCUCCCGAAUAUAUUUGUGUAACUCAAGGUAUUGACACCUAUCCAGUCAAUCCUUCUCCAGUAGUGUGAAGCUUGCUCACAGCAGAGUGGGAGACAGAGGACACAUACUUGCCUCAUAGGCUUAGGUGGGUGGUCUGAUAAUUUAAACUGCAAAGCUCUCCUGUGGAUCUCCUAACCUAUUGCAUGGGAGCAGACAUACCCUGAGCUGCCAUAGCUGGGUGUGCAAAGGCUCUUCUACUAGUUGGGAGCCUCUGACAUUUUAUUGUCUGCCUAGGAGGUGUGACUGGUAGUUCAUCUCCAUCAGCUUAGCACCUUAAAUGGUGUAAAGAAGGUGAAAAUCAGGAGUAAGUAGGUCCCUCAGAAUUGCCUUAUCCUGGGGAGAAGAUAUGGCAGGCUGUGUGGUUGUAGUGAGGCAACGUGCAAGGCCUUUGCAUCUUAUGCACCAGCAAGGGCCUUUUCCUGGGGGAAAGGAGUUGCAUGUGGUGUGAAUAUGAUCCUGUGAAGGUAAGGGCACUUACACUUAAUUAGUUUUUUUUAUUACUUGGUUUAUUCUUGGCCAAGCCUGAAGCUUCUUGAGUUGUCUUUAAGACAGCGCUAAUCUUCUAGCAACUGCAGAGUCAGGGAAUUGUACGAGAAGCACAGAAGUGCCUUUGCACAUUUCCUUGUUUGAUGGGCCAAGCAUCCUUCUGUCAUGCAGGUACUGCCUGCUUCUCCAAGCAAGCACACAGUGUGCUCCAGCAAGCCCACUGCUGCCCUCGGAGAGGUGUUUCCAUGUUAUUUGUACUUCCUGUUGCGCCUUUCCUUUUCUCUCUGAUACAUCGCACAUUGCCAGCUGGUAUUUGUAACAUGUUCCAUAGAAUUCUAAAAUGAAACUUCUUUGGAGGAGGUCAGCAUGCUGUGCGGGAUGCAUCCUGUGUGUGGGCUGCAUCUGACAGAUUCCUGUCGCUGUUACCCAACAGGCUUGUCAGAAACAACAGCACCUGCCCAUGGACUGCCCUAACACAGCAAUACCAGCCAAACCAAGAGUUGUGAAUAGUAUUGUUUGCCCAUGUGUGCUCAUAUUUGUAGUCUCUCUGCAGUAGGAGAGAUGCAGUGUAAAUAUCUGGAUGGAUAGUUACAUGUUUCUGAAUAGUGAUACCAGGCACCAUUCAGUUCUGAGCAGUCAAUGUACAAUUGAUGCAAUAGAAAACAGCUCAGAAGGUUGCUUAAGAGUUUUUCAGUUAUCAGUGACUUUCCUAUCCACACACAAGUAAAGAGGUAACCUGUCUAAAAGUUUUGUCAUUCUGGAAAUAGUGCUAAAGAUCAGAUCUUCCUGAUCCAUUGCUGGGAAGAUCUGUUCUUACACUUAUGCCUACAUGCUAGAGAUUUUUCUGUUACAUUUCUUUUUUGUGAUGGAUGAAAUCACUUUUUUGCAUAAUUACGUAAAGUUUGACUCCUUCUGCCUGUGUUGCAGCCAUUAGUGCAUUUGACAUCUGUUAUUAGCACUCUAUAGCAGUGCCCAGUAGGGGUUCUCAAAACAGCCAUUGCUUCACCUUUUCUAUAAGCUUGUCUUCAUUCAAAGACGCUUAAUUUUCCAUGUGGUCCACUUAGACUCCCAUUACAAAUUAUCUGAUCUCUUAACUCACAGCCUAAUUUUUCUUACUAUGUUUAAUGGAACUACUGACCACUGAGUUUAGCAGAUCCAGGUUGGUGUUAUACCUGUGAGAAUUUCCUGGUUGCAUGAUUUCUGCUUAUUUUGUAAGUUUUGCAAGGCUUUUUGGUUCCCUGCUGUCUUGAUUUCAAAUGCAUGACCUUGAAAUUGGUGGAUUUGAACAUGACUUUUAUUUUCGUUUGCAGUCCCUAGAGGAUUGUACUUGCAGAAUUACCUUGUAACUGUGCUGAAUUAAGACCCAAGCUGAAAUUCCCAGACCAAAGGAUAUGAUAGUUUAUAGUAACCUUGGUGCCUUUCUUAUGCUUUUUUAAACAAUGCCUUUUUGCCUUGUAUAUGAUCAGUGAUUUUGAAAAAAGUAGUUCCUUAGUUACCUAUUACAAUUUAAGAAAACAGUGUGUCCUCUUCCCACUUAUGUGCACACUUUUUCCUUCCUUUGGUGCUGUAAAUUGAUUAUCUCUUUCCAUUGUUAUGGGGAAACAUUUAAUAGGCACCAUUUUAUAGACAGAGUAAGGGAAAAUCUAACAACUUGGUACUCUGCCUGUAGGAUCUCUCAGUCUGAGUAUGGCAAAAUUGGCAAAUGUGAAGUGUAGGCCAACAGCUAAGUAGAAGGGAACAGAGUUACAGUCACUAAAUAAAGACAGGAUGAGGCAAGAGGAAGGAUAAGGGGUGCUUGGCAAGAGAGCCUCAAUGAUAUGGAUCAGCUUUACUCCCACUGAAUUUGAGUGUUGUCCCAAAUUUAUUGAGACAGGACAUCCAAAGGCUUCCCAGGGGGAGAGAUCUUAGCCCAGAGAGCAGUAUGGGAUAAGACUCAGAGCACAGAGAAGAAAAGGAGACCCACAAGGAUAAAAGGAGUGAGAAAAGCAGAGUGAGCAAGUAGGGAGGAAGCAAAGCAGAGGGGUGUUGGGAACAGCCUGACAUAGGACUUUGUAAAGGGAAACUGGGAUCUUGAGCACAAGAACUUGAAUUUGACCUGAAAGUAGAGAGGAUGACAGCAUUUCUGCUCUAUGUUAAGUCUGCAUUCAGAAUUUCAAGCUUUGUGUUGCCCCUGGAGUCAUCAGUCUUGCUCAGUCCCAUUACAGCAGGGCUGGAUAAGUCAGGUCUUGGUCAUAGUGAGUUUCCAUCCUUGGGCAACUGCACCAGUCAUGUCUUUUAGUAAAGGUUACUGGUGGAACUAACAGUGGCUUUUAGGAAAGCAACACUGAUACCAUAGUCGUGUUUUCCCCAGCCAAGCACAGGGGCUAUGUGGAGAGCUGUGUUUGAUGGCACCUGGGGCAGCAGAAGGGCACACAGAGUAUUCUGCUACUUGCAUGUCUGCUUGAGAAGGUGGAAAUGUCCCUGUGCCAUAUUGGUAAUACAACAAAACUGAUGUGAAAGCUCUGAUUAGAAGACGAGGUGUGAUGCUAUAAAUAAGGUAACUUACUGACUGAAGAAAAACUAAUAAUGAGGUAACAAAUAACUUAUCUUUCACCUUUCUAGAUACUUUAAGAGCUAAAGAUUCAGAAUUAAUCUAGAAGAAGCUGGAGAAUUAUUUUGGAGCUGUUUAACGUUUCCUGAUUGAUUUAUGGCACUCUUCUGGAAGAAGAGACUGUUACUUGAAAUUAGCUUAAUCUUCACUUUAUUAUUGUUAUUGGUCAAAUUAAUUGCUGUCUUUGUCAGAGAUCAUAAACCCUCAACAAAUCUGAUAUUUACUUAGCCUUUUUGUUUCUUGAAAAGUGAAGAUGUGUAAAAAAUAAGGAAUCUUGGUGGCAGUUAGAAUGAAAAAUCUUAGUAAUAUAUAUGAAUCUGUAGAACAUAAUCUGAAAUCUUAUGCCUUUUGAAGUUUGCACUUGUUCCACUUUUGUUUUGUCUCUUUUUUCAGUCAUAUUUUAAAAAAUGUCAGAGUAGCCACAACAGAGCAUUUCUCCUGUUCCCACCUGUGCUCUGUGAUGUGAAAAAAAAUUCAUAGACACAAUUUUAUUUAAUUAAUUUAUUAAAUAAUUAUUAUUUAUUUAAUUUAUUUAAUAGACACACAGAGAUCUCAACUUCCUCUUGAAUGUAUCUGGAUGAUUUUAUUAUGCAGUCCAUUGUACCUGUGAUCUGUCUGAAGUAGCUGGUGAUGAGCAUUGCCAAGAUAUUGUACUGGGCCGCUGAUAAUUUUGUGUAUUUCAGAAAACUUGAAAAACUAGAUUAAUGAAACAACACUUAUAAACCACAGCCUCGCCACAAAGAUAUUAGGGUGGCCGUGGCUGUAUAAAGUAUCUUUCACCCUUUCACAAAUCUUUUCUUUUUGAAGUUAACUGUGGGUUGUGUUCCUUUGUCCAAUUUCUGUAAAUUCGGUACAUUGUUGUGGGGGCUGAAGAACCGGCCAACCAAGAGAUUUUGGCUCUCCCCUGGAGAGCUUCUCCCUAGGCAAGGCACUUUCUCUCAGAGAGAGAAAAGUGUCACUCCCAGAGGUCCUUGAGUUAGACGUGUUAAUUUAGUGCACCCCAUUGUUUUUUCUCCCUAUCAGUCCACCCUGAUACAUGUAUCCAAGUUUCCCCCACCCCUCUCUUUCCCUAUAUAAACCCCAGGUUUUCCCUAGUUCGGGGAGCUGCUGGCACUGGCUCCCUUCACUGAGGACCCUGUUAUAAUAAAGGCUAUUUCUCAGUGGAAUGCCAUACAGCACUCUAGUCUCUCUCUCCAUGUCUCCUGCAAGCUGCCACUGAGCUGAGAUCACUCGCCAGGCAAGGGACGUGCCUGUGCCCCUGGGCCGCCCUUUUCAGGACAGCUUCUUCAGGGUAGUCGUGGCACCCCCUGCCAUCGACCCAGCCACAGCAAGUGGCGCCCAACAUGGGGCAUCCAAAGAGCCCCUGAAGAAGUGUCCGCCUGCAGUUCUCACUGUGGUGUGUGCCGCUAUUGGGACUGCCACUCCCUGAGGAGAACCCCUUGCGUUUUAGCAAGGGGCAAUCCAAAGGGUAUUGACUGGGACCAUCUGGGGCAAAUGAAGAGAGCCCUUGAGGACCGGCCGUCUGUUUUCCAUUGGAAAACCUGCCCAUCGGUUUUCCAUUGGCCCAGCAGGCAUCAGCCUGAAGAAAAUUACCAGAAAGAUUGUUAUUGAGCCUUCCACAAAGCUGAAAUAAUGCUGUGUGUUAAAAAAUGUUAACAAUCCAAAGAAGUUAUAAAAAUUUAUAAGUUGACUGAAUACUUUGGAAAUUUCUGCAUAUUUUAAUAUAAAUAGGUGCUGACAGCAUGUGGAGCUGAGAGCAGUGAAAGUCCAAAGGACUGGGGCACCAGAGGAGGUCACCAGGAGCUGUCAUGACUGCAGGACAUAUAUAAGCCCUGCAGGAAAGAGAAAGGGAGAAUGAUUCAUUGGUUGAUGCAAGCCUCUGUAGAAGUACUGAUCUAGUUGGAUCGGUAACUAACUUGGAUGGAUUUGCAACCAGCAGCUCAGCAGCUGAUUCAUGAACCGUCCUUCCAGGAGGGAACAUCACAAAGAUGGGAGUAGACUGAAUCAAGCCUCUGUCAAGAACCACUUCUGCAAUACUGAAUUAACAUACCUAAGAUCAGCACAUCAGGAAGAUAGCCUUCUACCAAGAAUAGUGUGGAGAUACACCUUGUUCACAGAAGCUCUGGAAACAUCAUGAGACUCAGACAGAUACAGUGCAUCCUCCGAUUGCGGAGAUGUUGCUGCUCUCUGAGCACUGCACACUCUGUGUUCAUGACUGAUGGAAAUAAUGCCCGGUUUUGGGGGAGCUUUGUGUUAUGGGAGACAGUAACAGCUGCUCUAAUAGGGUGGCUUAUCACUUUCUUGUGGAGACAGGUACAGCUUCUGUUCUCUUUUCCACCCUCAAAUCCGGUAUAACAUUAAUUAGAUUGUUACUAGGUUUCAUUAGUGAAGCUCCAUAAAACAAAAAAGGUUCUAUAGUCAUGCUAAAACUUGGUAUGCCAUUUAUACAAAGGGGGUGAACAGAGAUCAGUAGCCAUGAAACACUGCUUUUCCAGAAGUGUGAAAUAUUUAGGUAAAAUAUCUAGGUGAAAUCUGAGAGAAAUUUGAUUACUGCUUUAUAAAAUGUUGCCUCUUCCCUUCUAAAUAGGUUCUAUCAUCUCAUUAAUGCAAGCCCUGCCCCUUCACCUAGAUUCCUUCCCAGGCAGCUACAGUGGAUCUGCUCACCAAGGGAAUUUGUCCCACUGGAUUCCAUUUUUUUCUGUGCAGUUGAAUGAAAAGUGUGUGUCUUUUGAAGAACAGCAACUGAAAGAAAUAUUGAUGACUGCCAGGGUAUCUACAGAAAAUGAUAUGAAAAUUACUCUACUACAACAGUGAAGAAAAAUGGGCUUUGUUAACUCUUUCUUGUAGGUUGUUUAUAUUAAUAGGAACAAGUAAAGUUUUGUAUUUUUUCAGAGAAAUACACAAGGCCUUGAAUUGUAUUGUUUUAAUUGCAGCUAACUGAAUGAAUUAAGUGGAAAAACGCGCACAGUACUUUGAUUGUCUAAUUCUCUGUAUGUGAGGCUUUGGGAACAAUUUGUUACUAUAAAAGAACAGCAGUAACCAGAAAUCAGCCGACAUGUAAUUGCUAGGCAGAGGGGCAGUUUGGGGAAAGCUGAUACUUAUUUAUAAAUUAUUAAAUAAAAGCACAUAAUAUGAGGAUCAUCUCUCACUUCCUCCACACUUCAUACAUUACUCAUCUUCCUAAAUUUCAUGGUUUUGUACUCCCUUAGUACAUAGCUGCUUAUAACCAGUGCAGGCAUCAAAACCACCCACAUCCAGGAAAGGAGAUGCCUGUGCAUUUGUAAUGCUGGCAGUUUUGGUUAUGGGACUCAUCAAAGAUUAUGAACCUUCAGUUCAAGGAAAGGAAUCUUGACUCAAGUUUUAAACAUUGUUUUCAGUCCCAGGUACUCAGGUUUUCAGACCUGAGUACCUGGGACUGUUCAGAUGGCUGAAACUCUGGCUGGUGUUUCCACUUGACUGUGUACCUUUAGAGAUUUACAGCUAGCCAGUACCCUAAAUAGAAGACUUCUAGAAGUAGAAGAGCAAUUUUGGCAUUACAUUUGACAGAGUUCUCAAAAAAAAUUUGUUAUGUAAUUCACAUCAGUUUUGGUAAGAAUUGGGUAACUUCUGGUUAUCUUGAGUGGUUCUCACUGCUCACUUGUGCCUUACUACCAUAGGAAACAGCCAUUUGCAUAGGAAACAGAGAGGAGGUAGGUGGUGAUUGGACUCAUCAGGAAGGUAGAGCAGUGUUUUAAUUCUCAGUGGUUUUGGCUAUUUCAGCUCUCCUGUAGGAUGGAGCUACUACCAUUAGUUCCUUUAGCACAAAUUUGAGGGCUUUCUUCUAGGAAAGCAAAGUCUAUUUCAGAGCACACAGUAGCAGUUCCUUGUGCCAUGUAACAAGGGGUUGGGUAAUGUCUGGGCUCACAAGUGAGAAGCAUGUCUUACAGACCAAGAGGCCCUUUGUGAUCUGCAGAAGAGAGUCUGUGGAUAGGAAGGUGUGCCAGCACCUGGGGAGUUGGCACUGCUGGACACAUCUUUGGACUUGCUGAGCUGCUAUAUAUGAUGACAUUUGUGCCGUACAAAUAAAUCCCACCAUUAGACCACUUAAACACUGUUUAUGCAACUUCAAAAUGGUAGAGGCUUAAUUUUAUGACCUUAUCUGCAGGUUUGUUAUAUGUCCACGCUGAAGUGGUGUGAAGAUUAAAUUGCUAAUCCUAGUUACCAGUGUAGACUGUUGCACAGAAGGUGCCUGAGAGGUGGAACUGGGCAGUUUAGCUUUGCACAGCUCUUGCCAAGAGUUAUUUAGUAUCCCUGUCACUGUUUUUUGAUGUCAAAGAAUAUUUUCCCCCAAAUAACCUAUUUUUAUGCAAAAGAACAUAGCUGCAUUUAUGAAAGGUCUUGGAUUUUACAGUAAGUCUGGUUUGUGUAUAUUGUCGCAUUAAGUACCAAUAGUCAAAAUGAAAAACACAAUUUUGUUACAGGGAUUUUUAACAGUGGUUUUCAGUAGUUUAGAAAGCAUUGGAGCUAAUUCCAACAAAUGAAAAAAAUCAAAACAAAGCAGCUUUGAAAAUGUUGAUACAAUUUGGCAAAUGAAUCUUUGGUUUUAACUCUGCUCUAUUAUUUCUCUGAUACUAAAACCAGUAUGAAGCAUUAUGGAUUUCAACCAGCUCAAUGGAAGAUACAGUAUGGCUUUCAGCCCACUGUCCCCUGCACUGGGGCGCUAAAUCUUGGCUGUGCUCUUGUGAAGCCUUUGGCUGCAUGUUCUGAGACAGCCUCUAUUCAGUGCUUGUGUGCAGUGUUAAAGCUGUCUUCACUGCACCUCUUUUUCCAGCACGACAUGGGAAGUUUCCUGGAUUGAAUUCUCAGUCACAAAACUCAUAUGGGAGCCACUUAAAAUGUAAGACCUUUCAAACCCUUGUGAGUUCACAGCAUUAAAAGAUAAGAGCACAGUAUUGCCAAGAAAUGUGUCUUGUUGAGGCCCACAAUUAACUUUAUCAAAAGAAGGAAUCUUAUUUUUGCCUGCUACAGAUAGAGGUUGCAUCUCAAAGCAGCCUAAAGUUAGAGAUAGCAUCUGGUUCAGAUCACGAUAUGAUGAAAGAUUCAGGUUAAUUAGUAUUUAUUCUUAGUUGAUAGUUAUUCCUUUUGGCUUGAGCUAACAAGCAGGAGUUGGAGUCCCACAAAGUUGCAUCUCCUGGGAUGAGAGAUGAGUGAGGGAGACAGUCUCCAUGGUGAAAAUGUAUUUAGGGAUGGGGAUGUCAGUAAGAAAGACUGGCCAUUGCCUUGGAUUCUGAUGGCCUGAAGGGAGGAUGCUCUGAGGGAUGGCUAACUGCCAGCAGGGGGGGUUGGAUGUAGGCAUGGGCUGAGGCAUCCCAGCGGGCCAUGGACAGUGGGAGGUGCCCUGGUUCUCUGCUCAAUCCAGCGCCCUCACAUGCUCACACAACCCCUUUCUGCCACCAGUUGCCCUAACUGGGUGGUUUUGGCCACAGGGAGCAGUCAAGGAGAAGCUGUGAGGGUGGGUUCUCAGAGCACUUCCAAGGCUUUCAAUUCCCCUUUCUUGCCACUGUUUCCUGCACACCACACAGGCUCUACCAGCAAAAACACCACACCACAGUAUAAGGGCAGUUGUUCAUCUUGGGAUUGUUUUUUCUUCCUGAGGUCUCCUAAUUGCUUAUACAGCCAGGAGGAGCCUACCAGGUGGAGAGCAGCUUUCCAUGCUUUUUCAGUUCCCAUAUUUAUACUCUUUUUAAAAUCACUGUUAGCAUUUUGUUGGAGUUGAGACGUUUCUAGCAGGAUCUCCUGUGUAUCUGGGCAGAGUUGCUCUUCUCCAGUAAUCUCAUGGACUGUUUUGUUCCUUCAGGUACUCAAAGAGAAGAUAAUAUCUACAUUGGUAGGAAUUCUCUGGCUUCACGGGUUCUAGUGGCCUGGGCAAGGCAGUCCCAUAGUGGCAGGCACUGGGCCUCCUGCUCUACACCAUAUAGCUCCACUUUCCUGCUCUCUCACAUGACAGUCUGGGUUUCCCCAGCAGGUGAGACUGUUGGUAUAGAGGGCUGUGGGGAUGCCUGUCCUGAAGGGCUGAGACAAUGGCAGGAAGGCUGUGGGCAUCACUGGGCUGUCAUGGCUUCGAGUAUAGUGUGGGUGCAGUUGAGCAGCUUUUGCCUUGUGGACAUGACUGCACAGGCUGGCCAGUGUAGAUUUGUGACUCUCCCCUGCACUCGUUUCUGGAGAUGUUUAUUUUAAAGUCUCAACAAGACCUAAAUUAAUUCCCUUAACGUGCGUUUAACUGUCCCCUUUUCCCCAGCCCUUUGGAGGAGCUGGGGAGGUGCUGGCCCCUGCACCUGUGUCAGGAAGGUUCUGAGAUGAGGCUGAACUUGCAAUCACCCUCCCCAAGCUUCUCUUUGAAGGGGCAUUGCUGAGGAGCUGUGGGGUUGAACAGAGACAGAAUAGCACAAACUGGGAUUUUGGAUGGAAGAAGGGGGCAAAAGUACUCCGAAACUUGCACAUAAGUAAAAGAGGUGGUAAUUCUGCCUUGGAAACACCAUGGUAGUCUCUGGAGAGAUUGCUGAACAGCAAGGUACCACCUUGGAGCACAGUGCUGGGCUUUGCAAAUCCCUAGUGUCUCUCUGCUUUGCAGCCUGUGGCAGCCAAAUAGGAACUGCAGUGGACAAAGCUUGUUGCUUUUAGCACAGAAAAAUUCUAAACUUAAACCAAAGCAUGUAUCAUAAAUGUUAAGAGCACUAACUUCAGUGCUUAUUCUAUCAUAAACUACUAAAAGAAAGAAAGCGGGAAAAUAGUUUUGUUGCUCACUUAAUUGUGGAAGCUUUAUUAUGUCCUCUUGUGCUGAUGAUAAAGGCCUGUUAUCAAGGCUGAAUCCCAAUUAGAUCAGGUGUGUUCUAUGUGAUUAUAGUCUUGAACAUCAGCUGUGUCAGUGCAACAAACUAUUUGUUUGCAGCCCAGUUCUUUGAGAGUUUGCCCAUACAGAGGCAUAGACUGUUGAUUUGGCCACCACUUAUGGUCAGCAUGGCACACUUAAAUGGCUGUCGUGUAUGUAAAGGUGUGGACAGAUGGCUUGGAGAUUAUUAAGCUGAGUUAAAACUGUCUCUGUUUUUCCUUUUCCUGUUUCCUUCCCCUGGGCAUUACUUAAAUGACUGGAAUGUGGGUUAAAUAAAUACCCACAAACAAUGAAAUGUGUCUUUCAUUCGCUUCCUAGAAAGAAGAGAACACUCCUUCCUGUUACAUAUGUGAUGAAAAUGGCAAGACAGGUGUGGAUCUGCAGUAAACUCCAAGCUAUGUGGCAGCUACACAUAAGCUCAGAAAUUAAGCUGUUACUAUGAAAAGCACAAAGCUUAGAAGUAAUUUAUUCCUUGUGUUUGUUCCUCAUGUUAACUUCUGGAAAGUAAAUUCAGCUUUGUGCUGUGCUCAGAUGCAGUCUUUUCCAUAGACUAAGUGUUCAGGUUAACUGGACAGAAUGGGCUCUGUUUUGAAGGUAUAAGGAAGCUGGAUGAGCAGGUGUGGGAGAUGAAGUCAGGAGGUUUGGCCACCCUGGAAAGCACUGGAGCUGGGUUACAGUUAUGAGAUGCUAGACUUGAAAGAAGUUCUCAGUGUGCCUUUUCCUUUCCCUUUGUUUUCCCUUUCCCUUCCCUUGAAGUCUAAGACCUUGGAUUAUUAAUUCCUGCUCUUUGUUGUUCCAAAGAGAUGGUGGUCCUCCUGCAGCCUUUGCAGUGUCUCACAGCUCCAAGAGACCACAGACCAGGUCAGAACAUGGAUAUAGUCAUUGCGUAUUAAUGUCUAAUUAUUAUAUGUGGUUUUCAGAGGGAGACUUUCUUUUAACAUGAAAUGGAUAUUUAUAUGCCGUUCUAAAAUGUCACAGACUGUGUGUAGAUUCAGGAAGACUGUAGGAAUGUUGAUAAGUACAUACUAAAGAGGAUGUGGUUAAAGUCACAUUUUGAAAUAACUUUUCCACCAUAAGGAUUAUUAUCUACUGCCUUCCUUUUAAUUGAUGGCUUUUAUUCUUAUGUAUUAACUUUUGUCAGUAUCUCUGGAAUGUAUUUGUAAAUAUAUUUGCCAAAGUUAUAUAUUGGAUAAUUUCUAUGUUUCUAGCAUGUCUGAAAUGAUCUCAUACAAACGGUAAUUAAAAAUUAACAUGAUACCUGAAUUGCAUGUUCCUAUCAGCUUUCAAACAUCUUACUAGAAAAUACUUUUUUCAGUUUUAUUAUGUAUUUUAUUUAAAUUACUUUUUAAUAAAUUACUAAUUAGAAGUUUGUUUAAAUUGGCCUGAGGAAAAUAAGCAUAUGUAGUGAAGGGAACUGGCUAAAACUAUUAGUUUGUGUUAGAUUAUUUUGAAGGAUUUUCACACUAGCAGCCAUUACAAAACUCAACCAAUCCAAUAGCAUGGGGAAGCCUGUGGUUUUCAAGUAGUUGGGGUGUGUUGAAAGGAAAAGAUUAUAGAAGAGGCUUGGGGAAAUAAAUGAGGGGGGAAAAGAGGUUGAUUUUUUUUGUUUGGUGUAUUAACUAGUUGACAAUUUAGACUAUAUAUAUUUCACUGUCUUCCUGUGACUGGUCAGGAUUAAAUUAAAGAUGUCUUAGAAAAGAAGGAAAAUGUCUUAGAUUCUCAGAUAUGAUGCGUUUCCACCUGGCGAUUAUCAUAGACCUCGCUCUGUAGAGUGCUAAGUCUUUAAUCUAGUUUCCUCUACAGAGAAAUGGAACAUGACUGAAGCAGACAUUUACACUAUGGCAGAUUUCAGGAGGUCUGUGGGUUUUCAGCAGUGUCUCACAAACACAGUGCAAAUGACAAAGUGUUUCUUGAGAUAACACUUCACCUAUGUUAAUUUCUGAACUCGUUAAGGUUAAUAAAAGCACUUGGAAAAAAUAA